GACGAACGCUGGCGGCGUGCCUAAUACAUGCAAGUCGAACGCAGUUGCGAACGGGUGAGUAACGCGUAGGUACCUGCCUCAUCGUGGGGGACAACUAUUGGAAACGAUAGCUAAUACCGCAUACUGUGAGAUUGACCUGCGUUGUAUUAGCCAGUUGGUGAGGUAAAGGGUCACCAAGGCGACGAUACAUAGCCGACCUGAGAGGGGUAUCGGCCAACAUGGGGAUGAGACACGGGCCCAACUCCGUACGGAGGCAGCAGUAAGGAAUCUUCGGGAAUGGACGGAAGGCUGGACCAGCAACGGCGGGGGAGUGAAGAAGGGUUUCGGAUCGGAAAGCUCUGUUGGUAGAGGAGCGGUAACUAACCAGAAAGGGACGGCUAACUACGUGCCAGCCGCCGCGGUAAUAC
rnacentral:rRNA from 1 species